UGCUGACAGGUUUGUUUCUUACUCUUCUCACGACCAGGCACCAUUUCCCUGCUUUUUAAGCACACUUUCCCGGAGGCCCUCCUGGGAUCACUGAAGGACCCAGCUUUGCCUUGUGGCGGUGUGGCGGCAGAACCGGUUUGAACUGGCUGUGUCUGCCACAGACCGCCCGCUCCUCAGAGACCUCUGCAGGCCCUCUGCCGGCCCCUGGGCAUGGGGACAGCAGAAUCGCUGCUGAAAAUGGUGUAAUGUUGGAGAAAGGCUGUGGAAAAAAACGAAGGCUGUUACUUCAGCUGUACUUCCAGGGACUAUGUGAAAGAAAAUAGGCAAAGCUGAGAGGAGAAAGCUGAGUGCAGCCUUGCUCUGUGGUAUUGGUUGUGAUGAGAGAGCCUGGACUCAAUCAGAACACGAAGAUGUGGCCCAAAAAAGCUGCUACCGAAGAUACUGUAAAGGAAGCUGUGGCAGGAGGAUAUUCAGUCUGUUACAGGAAUGAGGAGAUGGGAGAACAGGCAGAAAGAAGGACUUGGGACAGAAGACAUCUGAAUGGUAAAUAUAUUGUAUGUUAGACUUCAACAUUGUCUCCCCUAACAUCCCACAUCAGCAACCUGAAGUGGACAAGAGGUGCACAGUCUACAGAUUGCCUUUCAAAGUAGCAAGAACUACAUUCACCAAGAAAGAAAUUAAGUGAAUUCUCACCAAAUUCUUCGUUUAUCACAAACACGAAAGAGGCUCAGCUGAGUUCCUUUCACAGCCUCCUCAGGUGUCUCUUAUCCAGGACAUCAUUCGUUUCUUGUGAAUCUUGGCCUUGUGCUUUUUCUGGUCAUUUGGUUUAGCAGGUGGUCAUUUAUGAAGGAAAUCUGGCAAAUACAAUGUGACCCCAUGCAAAGUGAUGUGCUCUUUCAUCUGAUUGGAGAGAUAGUGCUCACUUCUUCUUUCAUGUGUGCCGAAAGCCCUGCAACAUCCAUUUAUUUGUCAGUAUUAAACACGGUUCCAUGUUUUUCAGCUGAAGUGUCUGCCUAUUUGGGGAAUAACAGAGGAAGCAUUUGCAGUAAUCGCUUCUUUUCACUGUUUAUGGGUGCACAAGAAAUCUACCACUGUGCACCUUUGCAGAAGGAUUUGGACCCUGACAGCCUGACCUCAGUGCUAUAGAACCACAUCACUGAAAGCUUCUCCAGAAGCGUCCAAAAAAGAUUGACUGGGAAGGCCACGGUCUAAGUAUUUCUGGUCUGGUGAAGUAGAAGACAGCAGAAGACUGCUCAUGUUUUACCAUCUAAUUAACAUUACUAUGCCAGUGUACCUGAUGCAGCCUGUCUAGUUCUGGGAUCUGCAGGUUUGCAGUUCAUACACAAAUAUAUAUGAGAUACCUGUUUGCUUCACUGGCUAUUGGGAAACAUCAUCACCCCUUGAUAUGGGCAGAAAGGGAAGAAGAUUUUUAGGACUUUGGUUGCUCGGAAGAGCUGGUGAGCUCCACUCCUGCCUGCUGCCAGCUUGUGGGUUGCUAACAGCCCCAUGGGGGACACUGAACACUCUGCAUUUGGAAGGAGGAAGUGCAGAGGCAACACACAGACAUAUCUGAGAUCCACAGAGCAUUGGAACAAGUGGCCUACCAGUCCCAAGACAGCUUUACAAACCACAUGGCAGUCUGGGGAUCAAUCUCUGCCUCAGAAGAGAGUAGAGGACCACAUGUGUUCAUCUGACAUGCCUGAUGUAAGAGCAGUAAUCUGGAUAGCACAUGGAGAGUUGGCAAAGUUCAAGGCAUCUGACCACAAGAGAGAUUUUUGCUUUCCAUUUCAGAUUUGACAAAGGAAUGAUAUCCUGCUUAAGGUGCCACAUGAAUCUGGAAACACAUCCUUGUUGGGCAGUGAGCGGAGAUUUUCUCUGUAAGAUCUCAGCUUCCACUUUCAGAGCCCAAGGCUUUUGCAGCAAAUGGGAAAACAUGGUUGGUGAUCAACCCAGUGUGAAAUAUUCUGGAUUGGUUUUCUUUGUUAUUGGUGGCUACUUGUGAAGCGGCAACUCAGGCUGAGAAGACACUGGCUGGAGCCUUUGGUGGGUGCAGAUGGGAAAUGAUUGUCUGUCCAAACAAGAUUCUUCAACAAUCAGGCAUUCUUCUGGAUGUGCCCUCAGCUGACAGAUAAAUGACCUCAUAAAUCAAAGGAACCUAUGGAGAGUUCAGCGUGGAAAUUGCAAGAAGAUAUAUCAGUGAUAAAAGUCGUCUUACUGUGAGAUUCAGUGUUCCCUCUGGCUGUUUGGGAUGAGUUAAUGAUGUGUGGAGUUAAACCCUCUGCUCUUUCCACCCCCUGUGACUUGCAACAAGACCCAGGUUUCUCUCUCAAACGUAGGACUGGCCCAGAGCUUGUGCACCACAAAGUGACUUGGGAUGAAAAGAGUCCAAUGAACUUUUUAAAGCAACUAGAAGGAAUCGGACAAUGCAGUCUGUGCACUAAAUGAUUGUUUGUGUAAUUAAAGUCUAAAUUGAGAAAAUCAUAAGUAAAGGUGGAAUGUAUGCAUUAUAUACUGGAAGAAACUGCCUGAUGAGUGAUAUUUUGCACAUUAUGAUAUACAAACCAUCCAUUUGGAGAAGAACUGGACUUUCUGGGCAAGUACUUUAGCUACUGUAUCUGGCAUGCUGCCUGUUAUAACAGAUAAAUUAAUUUCUGAACCUGAUAAUCAUCAUUUUGUAUUUAUUCCCACAUCAGAUUCAGAAUUAGAUCUAUCUUUCACAGGAUCUGGCAGGGCUCUGUGUCUGUUACUAGUCUGAUUGUGUUACUCCAGUGUUGUAGCAUAGUGAAUAAUCCCCAGUUAAUCAGUGUGUCUAUUGAUUAAUAUAUAUUCCCAUUUCAGUAAAUACAUAUAAUCAUAAACUAAAUAAUAUAACCAUAAUAAACCUGCUAUAUCCAGUA